GACGAACGCUGGCGGCGUGCCUAAUACAUGCAAGUAGGACGCAGUUGCGAACGGGUGAGUAAUGCGUAGGUAAUUACCUAUUAGAGGGGGAUAACUAUUGGAAACGAUAGCCAAUACCGCAUACUAGUCUAUGUACCUGCGUUGUAUUAGCUAGUAGGUAGGGAAAAGGCCUACCUAGGCAACGAUACAUAGCCGACCUGAGAGGGUGAUCGGCAACACUGGGACUGAGACACGGCCCAGACUCCUACGGGAGGCAGCAGUAGGGAAUCUUAGGCAAUGGGGGGAACCCUGACCGAGCAACGCCGCGUGAGUGAAGAAGGUUUUCGGAUCGUAAAGCUCUGUUGUUAAGGAAGCGGUACUUAACCAGAAAGGGACGGCUAACUACGUGCCAGCAGCCGCGGUAAUUC
rnacentral:rRNA from 1 species